rnacentral:rRNA from 1 species
UUGUUGGUAAGGUAAAAGCUUACCAAGGCUUCGAUCAGUAGCUGGUCUGAGAGGACGACCAGCCACACUGGGACUGAGACACGGCCCAGACUCCUACGGGAGGCAGCAGUGGGGAAUUUUGGACAAUGGGGGCAACCCUGAUCCAGCCAUGCCGCGUGAGUGAAGAAGGCCUUCGGGUUGUAAAGCUCUUUCAGCCGGAACGAAACGGUUACGGAUAACACCCGUGACUACUGACGGUACCGGAAGAAGAAGCACCGGCUAACUACGUGCCAGCAGCCGCGGUAAUACGUAGGGUGCGAGCGUUAAUCGGAAUUACUGGGCGUAAAGCGUGCGCAGGUGGUUUUGUAAGUCAGAUGUGAAAGCCCCGGGCUCAACCUGGGAACUGCGUUUGAAACUACAAGACUAGAGUGUGGCAGAGGGGGGUGGAAUUCCGCGUGUAGCAGUGAAAUGCGUAGAGAUGUGGAGGAACACCGAUGGCGAAGGCAGCCCCCUGGGUCAACACUGACGCUCAGGCACGAAAGCAUGGGGAGCAAACAGGAUUAGAUACCCUGGUAGUCCAUGCCCUAAACGAUGUCAACUAGUUGUCGGGCCUUUACGGGCUUGGUAACGUAGCUAACGCGUGAAGUUGACCGCCUGGGGAGUACGAUCGCAAGAUUAAAACUCAAAUGAAUUGACGGGGACCCGCACAAGCGGUGGAUUAUGUGGAUUAAUUCGAUGCAACGCGAAAAACCUUACCUACCCUUGACAUGUAUCGAAGCCCGCAGAAAAGCGGGGGUGCCCGAAAGGGAACGAUAACACAGGUGCUGCAUGGCUGUCGUCAGCUCGUGUCGUGAGAUGUUGGGUUAAGUCCCGCAACGAGCGCAACCCUUGUCAUUAAUUGCCAUCACUUAGUUGGGCACUUUAAUGAGACUGCCGG